rnacentral:snoRNA from 1 species
AUCCAGUGAUGAGACCUUGGCAUUAUUUAUGAUCUGAUCACACUUAGAAACUGUGGUUCUUAGUCAGCUGUUUGCUGAGUAGUCUUGGUAGUGUGAUUGAGUUUUAUUACACUGCUGUAAGGGCUCACCUAUAUUCAAACUUCCAUCUUCUAUAACUUAUGCCCAUGAUGAGAAAUUUUGUGGGAUAUGUAGAAGAUGUCAAACAUUGUGUAACUUCUUGUCACUGUGUGAAUGUUUAUGUAUCAGCUGACAAAAGGCUGUAGUGUCUAUAGCAGGUUUGACAGAUAUGAACAGUCAUCUUUGGUAAUCUGAGGAUA